UACGUAGGGUGCGAGCGUUAAUCGGAAUUACUGGGCGUAAAGCGUGCGCAGGCGGUGAUGUAAGACCGAUGUGAAAUCCCCGGGCUUAACCUGGGAACUGCAUUGGUGACUGCAUUGCUGGAGUAGUGGCAGAGGGGGGGUGGAAUUCCACGUGUAGCAGUGAAAUGCGUAGAGAUGUGGAGGAACACCGAUGGCGAAGGCAGCCCCUCGG
rnacentral:rRNA from 1 species